CCCAUCCCGCCGCCGCCAGCAUCUCCCACCUCGGGAUCCCUCCAGAUCCACCCUCUCUCCCUCGAUUUCCUGAUCGGGCCAACCACCUCCUUCCCUCGAUCCACCCAAUCCCGCAACCGAGGCCCGAGCUCCUCUCGCUCAAUCCCUCCUCGAGCAUCUGCCUCUGCCCGAGCUCCUACCGCAGCUCCCCAUCACCCUCGACCCCGCCUCGUCGGCCGGUCGACAACGGCGACCGGAACAACGCCGGAGAUGAGUGCCCCGACAGCCCCGCUCGUUUUCCCCUCCUGCUUCUCUACCUCUCUGUCUCACGAUCUUCCCCUCCCUCUCUCUGUUUUCGCUCACAGGAGACCGCCAUGGCGCCGCUGUAGUUCUUCUGAAGUUGGAUGCAGCAGCGCUGCAUCGAGCGCACGCCCGCGCCGCCGCUGCCGUGUCUGCCUCCCUCCGCCUCCAGCCGUCCCCGACGCCAUGCGCCUCGUCCGCCUUGCCAGGUUCUUCGCCAGUCCCUCGUCCCGCUCGUCUCCGACACCAGCGCCGUCCGCCCCGGCAACCUCGACGUCGAGCUCCAGUAGGAACUGCUUCGCGCGCCCCUGUACCCGCGAGCGUCUGAGGCUGCGCCCUCCUCCUCGUCCAGCCCCUCCCCGUCGCCUGCAUCUCCUUCGGCAACGCCGCCGUGCCCGCACGCCUAUGGCGAAGCUCCGGGAGCUCCGACGCCCUGGAGACCCGCGCCCCCGCCGGACAUCCUUCCUCCGCAUCCGGCCACGCCGGCGACAAGCCCUGCCUCCGCCGCCUCGCCAAGUUUCGCCGCCUGAACCUCCCUGCAUCGCCAUGGCCGCCGGCCUCCGUUUUCCCCGCUGUGAGCAACUACCUCCAUGAACGAAGCUUCGAUCCUUUCCUAGAUCCGUUCUGGCAUGUAGAGGUUAUUUAAGUUUGCCACUAUGUUUCCACCGCAAGCAUGUCAGCUAGCCCAGUGGCUAGCGCAGCCUCUAUCCAUUCGAGGGGUCUGGGGUUCGAGUCCCAGCCGCCCCUUUUUAUGCUUAGUUUUUCCUGUUAUUUUGCACUCCCACUUCUGCUUCGGACCAGAUCUGCUGCUGGGCUUGCAUAGUGCGUUGCAUUCGGCCCGUUGCUAUUUUUUUUGGCGUGCUGCGAAUUUGAUAUUAUCCAGAGAGUGCAGUUUUGCAGAAAA